rnacentral:rRNA from 1 species
GAGGAAUAUUGCGCAAUGGAGGCAACUCUGACGCAGCCAUGCCGCGUGCAGGAUGAAGGCGCUACGCGUUGUAAACUGCUUUUAACCGGGAAGAAACCCCAGGUCGUGUCCUGGGUUGACGGUACCGGAGGAAUAAGCACCGGCUAACUUCGUGCCAGCAGCCGCGGUAAUACGAAGGGUGCAAGCGUUAUCCGGAUUCAUUGGGUUUAAAGGGUGCGUAGGCGGAGCGUUAAGUCAGUGGGGAAAUCCCGCAGCUCAACUGUGGAAUUGCCAUUGAUACUGGCGCUCUUGAGUGCGGUUGACGUGGGCGGAAUGUGCCGUGUAGCGGUGAAAUGCUUAGAUAUGGCACAGAACACCGAUCGCGAAGGCAGCUCGCGAAGCCGCAACUGACGCUGAGGCACGAAAGCGUGGGGAUCGAAC